UAGGGAAUCUUCCACAAUGGACGCAAGUCUGAUGGAGCAACGCCGCGUGAGUGAAGAAGGUUUUCGGAUCGUAAAGCUCUGUUGUUGGUGAAGAAGGAUAGAGGCAGUAACUGGUCUUUAUUUGACGGUAAUCAACCAGAAAGUCACGGCUAACUACGUGCCAGCAGCCGCGGUAAUACGUAGGUGGCAAGCGUUGUCCGGAUUUAUUGGGCGUAAAGCGAGCGCAGGCGGAAUGAUAAGUCUGAUGUGAAAGCCCACGGCUCAACCGUGGAACUGCAUCGGAAACUGUCAUUCUUGAGUGCAGAAGAGGAGAAUGGAACUCCAUGUGUAGCGGUGGAAUGCGUAGAUAUAUGGAAGAACACCAGUGGCGAAGGCGGCUCUCUGGUCUGCAACUGACGCUGAGGCUCGAAAGCAUGGGUAGCGAACAGGAUUAGAUACCCUGGUAGUCCAUGCCGUAAACGAUGAGCGCUAGGUGUUGGGGACUUUCCGGUCCUCAGUGCCGCAGCAAACGCAUUAAGCGCUCCGCCUGGGGAGUACGACCGCAAGGUUGAAAC
rnacentral:rRNA from 1 species